GAGGGAAGGAGACAGAUAACAAGUGAGAAGACCACAGGAUGCAGUUAGUUAUGUACAGGCUUAACCAAUUCUCUGGUGCAGCAGCAUCAUAAUUCUGAUAAUAUCAGAAUAGUGAGACAGCUAGGUGGGAGUGGGUCUCUGGAGAAACUCCAACCAGUCUGACCACUGAGGUGGAGCCUCAGCAAGUUCACAAGUGUGCAGCGGGGAGGAGCCUGGCCCUCCCUCUUCCUGUGUGAACCUGAGAGUCAAGCUCAGGGCAGGAAGCACUCCAGCAGAUACCUCGGCUGUGACCACUGAAGUUUGCAAGUUCACCUUGGAUUCAUGGGGGCCUUUCCCCAAAGUAGCAUCCCUUGUAGGAAACAUUGCGGGAAAUCCAGAACUCAGAAAGUGCCUAUGCAAAUGACAUCCCGUUGCACCUAAUUUCUUACUAGUGACAGAGCCACUGGCCCUGGGCACCUGGCGGCCUGCCUGCCUUUCCAGCCUGUGCUAACCAGACUCUCACAGCAGGCUGAGCUGUGCUUACCCACACAUGCGAACGCAUCUUGAACAACUUGAAGCACGGAGAUGGGGCGGCAUGUUCCAAAUCAGCAGGAAAGGAAAUUUCAGAUGGUGGCAAUCAUCGCAGGGAAACGCACCUCACUGAAAUCAAUAGAAUAAUUUUUGAUAAUGUAGCCACUUGAUCUGGUAAUUGGGCCUUUCACCUGUAGUGAACGGCUUCACUGGAGACUUUCUUGAGCUAUUAGAUGCCUCUUACUUGGAGGCUAUCCUGUUUUUAUCUUUCAAAAUAUGUGGAGUAAUUAGCUUUUGAGUUGAGUGCUUUCGCCUCUUCCUCACUCCCCUCACUCCCUUGCAUUUCCACCCGCCCACCCCCAGCUUGCUCUUUUCCAGGCCUGCCCCCGCCCUGCCAGGAGCCACUUGGUAUUGAGCCACUGCUCAUCACAGAAUUGUACAGUCGUUUGAGGGGCAGCACAAUAAACCUCACUCCAUUAUCAUCUUGUAAAUUGAUUUUUUUUUUAAAUCUGGAGGGUGAGUAGGACUGCGCAUCUGCAUUCCCGACCCUUGUCUUCCUAGCCUUGGCUUGUAGCAGGGCUGAAGUACGAUUGACAAUGCUUCUAAUCAGUGCUGUCUGGGGGCCAGGGAGUGAUUUACCUGCAGUGGAGGAGGGUUGGCAAUGUUACCUUGCAUAUCGUCCGAUGACUAAUUCUUUAGAAGUGAGACAAUACAUGUAGUAUACUUCCGAGCAUCACAUUGGUUAACAGCUUUCUCAUAAAAUAGUGUUGGGAA
rnacentral:lncRNA from 1 species